GAACGGUCAAUAUCACGUGAUAAAGAUUACAUUAGCCAGUAUCCUAAUAUUUAAAAAAGAUUGGAGAUCCGUUGUUACAAGUCAAGCAAAGGAAACAAAUUAAGAUUGCAGAUCCGCGUCUUGUUGCUGUUGAAGGGAACUUGUAUGUAGGAUCAAACGCAGGGCAAAAGGAUGGUGAAGUAGCAGAUGGACAAUGAUCUCCAGUAAAUGGACGAUCUUUUAAAGACGACCUCACAUCUUCCCAACAGACGUGUUUACAUCCAGGAUAGCUGCUGAUUCCAGUUCUGCAAAUUGUUAAUAAAUCAUGAGUUACAACGUUAAUUGAAGUUUAGGAUGCACCUUACCGUAUUC